AUAAAAAUUUCACAUGUUUUGCAUUUUUGUAAAAGUACAUCUUUUUUUGAAUUUUGCAUAUAAGAUCUGAAUUUUCAAUAAACUAAUCAAAAUACUCUUAUUCCUCGCUUUCUCUCAUUUCUCUCUCUUCCUUUUUCUCCUCUCUCUUUGUCUUCCUCCUCAUCUCCUCCUUUCUUUCUCCUAUCGCUUCUUUUCUCUGCUCCUCUAUUGUCCUCACGUCAACACCAUACUCCUCUCGCCUAUCUUGCCUGUACCUCCAUCGACUCAGACAGCGAUAGCAACAAAACGAAAAACUAUAGCUCCUUACGAAUUUUCACCAGAUUAAGGUGUGGGCUUGGAUAUGACACAAUCAGAGAGGUGAGAUUGUGGUGGACGGCGUGAUCAUGGAUGGUGACGGCGACGAGGGUGGCACAUGCUUUGAGGAGGGUGGAGAGGAAAAGUGCGUAAAGGGCAGGAGUGGCUACUGGGGCAGACAGCGAGGGAGAAGACAUGAUAACAAAAAAGAAUGGAGAAGGUGAGAAAAAAAAAGAGAAAAAAAAGAAAAAAAAGAAGAAAAGAAAAGGGAGAAAAAAGUACUAAAAGAAAAAAAAUAAUGAAAAUAUAUAUUUUUCUUCUUCUUGGAGGGCUUAUAUGUUGCGGGCCACUAUAGACAAGGCCAAGAAGUAGAGAAGAAAAAAGAAAAAAAAAGUUGUAUCGUUUAAGACGUAGUUGUAUUGUUAAAUUGUAUCGUUUAAAACUAUUUAAAAUUAAAUUUCACCAUGUAAAAUAGAUGUUGCACUGUUUUGGGAGGAAGUUGUAUUGUUUUAGACUUAAGUUGCACCAUCUUAAAUUAUUUAAGAUUAAGUUGCAACUUAUUAAAUAGUGCAAUUUAAGUAUCAAAUAAUACAAUUUAGUCUCAAACGGUAUAAUUUUUAUUUUUUAUGGUAUAGUUUAUUCUCAAGUAUUAAAAUUUCAUAAAUUUGGCAAAAUUAAUCAUAUUUAAAUUUAGAUUUAUUAUAAAUAAAGAUCGAUCCUAACAGAUAUAAGACUGCUUCAUAUGAUAUAUUUUAUUUAUUUUCUAUCUAUCUUUUAAAUUAAAUACAAUAAUAAUCAGACUUUGAUACGAAGUUAAUUUGGACUCUAUAUAAAAGAUAUACGGUGAGUGAUAUUCAACCCCUAAGCCGAACUUUUCGUGUCUGCAUAUUGA
rnacentral:lncRNA from 1 species